ensembl:lncRNA
CCGGGGGUCUGCCCACUGCUGUGCCAGCCCCAGGGCUCGACACACACAAAAUCGGACCAUCCCUGUACUGCUGAUAAAGCUUUACUGGUUGUAUUCCACUGGGAGCUGUUGGCAGUGCUGCGUGACGUCCAGAGAGAAGGCACGUUUAACACAACAGCAAGCACUCAGGGUGCGAUGUUCUGACUUCUGGUCGGGAUACGAUCACGCCUGAAUUCAGCAUCCUGCACAAGCCUGUGCAGCACCCAGCACUGGGCGCUCAAGAACACGACAGAUGCCUCACAAGAAGCCAGGCUCCUCGUCCUUACACAAUGGCUUCCGCCUUCUCUUAAGAAAAUCAUUUCUCAUUGUCGGCUUUUGGAUACAAAGCAGAUGUCCCAGCAACUUCUCCAGAUUUUUCAAAAUUGGGGUGAUAAAUUUCCCAGUGACAUUUAGAUAUUUUAAAAGAAGAUGAAGGUUUCGGGACACGAUAAUAAGAGAACCAUGACACUGCCACCUGGUGGAUUCCGAGAUAAUAUCUACAUCAUAUCAUACCGUCAUUUCGGGGGGAUUGGCAUAAAUGUGCGUGGCACGUCGUGGUCAAAUAAUAGCUCAUUUCUUUCCCACAGAAAAUAUAGCAUACAACAAUAUAGACUUUUGUACACCAAGACAUUCAGUUUAACUAAGGAUAUAGAUAGGAAUCCUGCUAUGAUUUACGUCAGCACCUGCGUAAGUUAAGCUCUUAACACAUUCUAUUUUAAAGCACGUUAGCAGUGCUUUAAAAGCAAUAUUAGUCUAAAUGUGCUACUCACUCAGUUCUACUGUACCAUUCCUGAAAGCUAAUGCUAUCUUGAGUCAUAGUGAUCCUUGUAAAUUGUGCUCGGGAAUAAAGUUGAAGUUCAUAGAAGGCUGUUAAUACAAGGGUUAAAGGACCUGUUCACAUGUAGUUGUAUGUUGUAAUUUAAACUGAAUUCCAUAACUCGCCUCUAAGAAAGUCUGUGAUAUAUGCAUCUUUCAAACCUUUUCUGCUCUGGUGUGUUGAUGUACAAAUAACACGGACCAAGGGGUUCCCUAUUGUAUUGGAGAGAGUGAAUUAAGAAAAAGGAAAAAAACCCGAAGGAAUCUCCUUUUUCCUGAAGGAUCUGAACCGUUCCAUCAGCACAUCAUCAGUUACUAACCAAUUAAUCAUAGCACAAGGAGAAAAACCCACAAAAUAUAUUAUAGCAAACCAAUGCCCUCCCUACGUUUUGAGUUGGCAGGGAACUUCACCAGGGUGUCAAAAUCCUGUACCUGUAGGAGCCAAUGUUUGAAGGAGUGCUUCUCACAGAAUGCUGAUGCGAUGCAAUGCGAAGCAUGAGCCCGUUCUGAAAUCACCUGUAACAAGACAGUGAUAUCAAUAUUUGUAUCAAGACAGCUCGCCUCUUUAAGGGAAUGAAAAAAUAGUCCUUUUGCCUGUUUCAAAAUGAGAUACGGAGGCAUUUGUGAAAAGAGAACCGUUGUUCUGCACAAAGAUGAGCCAGAAGCUAAGCAAAGAGCCUUAAAACCCUUAAAUAAACAAUUCCUGAAGACUGUUUAGUACUAAAAUGGGAAAACAGACUCCAUCACUGGCAUAAAAUCCAUUGUGGUUCAUAUUUAAGACUAGACAGUGAUUCAUACUGUUUCACUAGACUCAGCAUGCUGCAAAAGGCACUUGAAAUAAUUAACACAUAGAAUUAAACUACUUAGAUUUCACAUCAUCAAACAUUUAACUUUCCG